GCGGGGGUGGCCGAGCGGUCGAAGGCGCAGGACUUAGGAUCCUGUCCCCUUAGGGGGCUCGUGGGUUCGAAUCCCACCCCCCGCACCA
rnacentral:tRNA from 1 species